rnacentral:lncRNA from 1 species
AUGAGGGGCACCCUCCUAAUUCUGAAGAAAGACCAAGAAGAAAUUUGUAUGAAGAGAGUCUUACAGAUCGUUUUCUUUUCAGAGUCUGUAAUCAUGGAGAAUACACCAAGGAAUGUAACUGGCUCUGAGUCCUCAGAGACAGUGAAUCCUCAAGCACCAGCUGGUAACAUGGCAUCACCAAGACGUAGUGCUGAGGAACCUGUGGGAAUUGCCAACAGAGCCGCUCCAACAACAUCACCAACCAGAAGGAUUGCCAUGAAAAGUCAAGAAUUACUUGAGGAAACUGAUACGGAAGAACCAUUAUUUGAACAUACGGAGUCACAGGUAUGUAGCUGGGCCUGGGCUGAGAUUGUAUCAUUAGCAGGGGGGAUGCGUGGGCAGAAUUAGGAGAGGGCUGGGGACACACUAGGUCCCUGUUCAUUAUUUCCAGCCCCAGGCUGGCUCCUGUAUCAACCUUGGUCUCUUUCUGUUCCUACUCAUCACCUCACCAUAGGGGAUCUCCCAUCCUAUAACCAUCCCAUCGACCCUUCCCCAGAGCAGCCAGCCGAGACCCUUCUCCACUGAUCUACAAGGCAGGACUGAACGAACCUUAGUCCACUGUUUUCCCCCUGCCUUAUUGGAAUCCAGCCCCCUCCACCUUCUAGCAUCCCUCCUCCACAAUGGACCUGCUGCCUGUGAGACAGUCAGGGGAGGGUGAAGGGAGCUGCACUUGUUGGAUUUUAAUGCUGUUUGUUUGCACCAGAUCUCCAAAGAAUCUCCUCAGACAAAGAGAUGCUCCAGGCAGGAACCCCAGGUAAUUACCCCUGUGAGAUGAGUGUUUGUGCAGCAGCAGGGGAUGCAGGACCAGGCAGGGCUGGGCAGGGCAGAGGGCGUGGGU